AGGUGAAUGUGGAACACUGUGGACGAGCAAAGACAUGCAUGCACUAAUCUUUUAUUGUUUCGGAAAGUUCAUUUUCUAUGUAGUUCUACGUUAAAUGACAUUACAAAUAGUAGCUUUAUCUCUGAUUAACAUCUCUCAGGAAACUGAAGAAAAGAGAACAGAAGUGUGGCACUCGCCCAGAUGUCACAAUAUGUGAAUUGACAAACACUAAGAAGGCAAGAAAAAAAUGUUAUCUUAUCUUUUGGAAUGUUAAGUAGUCUCUAUGCCAUAAAACCGAAAAGAUUAGGAAUAGAUUUGUAAGACGCAGCUUUCCUACAGUUUUAAAUGAUCCACAUUGGCAUAUAUGUUGUCUAAGUGAUCCGCACUUUGAUCCAUCUGAUCUGGAUGGGCCUGCAAAGACAGACGUUGGGUUACAUAUUGGUCUGCGGUUUGUGUCUCAGUUCCCGGCUAUUUAGUAUAUUGAUCGCAUGUAUCGUACCUCAAUGUUGGCGUAAACCGGUUCCUCAAUGUCUUUCUGUUCAGAAACUUUACUGUUCUCUGGUUUCUGGCAAGACGCUUCCCUGAAAAGACAAAAGAGACAUAAGCACAGAGUAUUAAACGUUGCUUCUUAUUUUGCAUAGAACAAAUAAUGUCUACAUUGUAAUUUGAUUUCACAAUGGUAUCAAGAAACAAACCUUUGCAGUUGGUUUGCUCGGCUGAAAUUAGCAUAAUAUCUUGAAUCCUCCCUGAUAAAGGAUGCUGACCUGUGCAAGUUGUGAAAAAUAUAUUAGCCUUUCAUCUAUAUAAAAAUAACUACAUAACAUAAGUUGUAUGACAUGCUCAAUAAAAACAAAACAUUCCAAAAUCAUUGUAUGAUUUGUUAAUAUAUUUUUGAUUACAUCAGAUCAAAACAUGAAAGCUGAAGUUACCUUUUGUGUUUUAUGCCAAGGACAAUUCCAACAACAACAAUGAUGGUCAGAAUGGCAACAACUGGUACGGAGAUGGACACAUGCUUUAGUAGAUCAUUCUCCGGGUCUGCUCCCACUGUGGACAGUAAUAUGGUUAAUAAUGGAAACCAAAUGACAUAUUUAGACGCAUUUAAUGUUCUAAACAUUGUAAACAUACCUGGUUGUCCUUGAGUGAUGGGAGUUAGCUGUGUUGUACCUAAAAAGAAAUGUUUUGUUAUUUACUUGCAUUUACUUACCUUACUUUUCUGACAUGAAUACAAAUAUUAAAUAGCUUUUUAGUAAAAUUGAGGAGUACAGGAACAAAGUAUUUGAAUGUGAAAGAGAGAGUAAAAGCCUACCGGGUAUACCUGGAACAAUUAGCAGAGCACCAGUUACAGCAAUGGAGACACUAUUUUGUGAAAAACUGUAGUUGUCCCCCUUUGCAAUAAGUCUCACAUAGAUGUUUGGGACAUUAUCCCUGAUAUUGAAGAUCUUGAGGGAGCAGUUCCCUGCGCUUUUAUUUCCCAUGAGCCGGGUCUUUCCUCUGUACUUCUCAAGCACAAACGUCUCGUUUGGGUGAAAAAUAAAAGCAUUUUUGUCGUUGUCAAAAGUAUUAAAUUUGCUUUUCUCAUCCUUUUUCCAGAAAACUUGCAUACUUUCCGUGUAAUGUUUAGUUGGAACGGUGAAGUGACAUUGAAUGGUCACGUUUGAACCCAAGGUUGCAUUGAUAUGUCUGCUGACAUCAAUAUUCCAGCUUUCACCUUGGAACAAAACAAGAACAGAAUUGACAUUGUCCACAACGUAUAAUUCAUUACAUUACAUUAAAUGACAUGUCAAUUAGCUGACCUACAAUAGGUGCAUUUAAAUCACGAGGAGACAAACCCAGAAGAACAAGAAACAAUUCAAUCCAUGAUUUAAAAUGAACGAACAUUGACUCAUUAUGUCACCCACCUUCUGAAUUAGACGCCACGAUCAAUAUGAGGGUAUAAUCGAUCAGGCUUAUCAACUUCAUCUGAUCCAAGGAAGGUAUUCUGAAGUUGACCAACAUCCUGAAACUGUAUAGUGGACUCAGUUUUUCACCUCCAUCACAUCUUGUAGCUUACAUGAUUUAACGUUCUGGUGUUAAACCGCCUUUUCUCUGCAGAAAGUAGGUACUCACUGUGAAAGGGACCUCGGGGCUGAGUUGUGCUCUGUCAAUGUGUAUUACACUUAACAGUGAUGUGAAAUAGUUUCUUUCCUGUUCAUCACAUCACAAAAAAAGAGGAAGUUGGGACAGAGAUGUUCCCUUCAACCGUGAGAUGACUU
ensembl:lncRNA